UUAAAUUUGAAGCAGGAAGUAGUAAUUACUAGUCAUAACAAAUAAAUUUAGGUGUUCUGCUGCACUCACUCACAGUUUUGAUUUCCCAGAGAUUUCUAGCAAGUAUGAUGCAGAAGUCUCCAGACAACAACAGCAGAGCAGUAAAUUCUGUCUCAUAUCCUUUGAAACCAUAAUGGACAAGAGUAGAAUUCCACUGUGCCAGUCCCCUUGUUGAUUCAGUCUGCUUCCUUCUAUUAUUUAACAGGAAACCCCAGGACAAUCAACACAUGGAGAGCAAAUGCUCCUCUCCUUCCCCUCUCAUUUUUUACUUUUUCUCAUCACAGAAUGAACAGGAGAACAAAGUGGAAGGCACCAUGCCAGCUUUAAACAUUCUGAUACUUUUAUGGAUGUGUGACUGUGUUCUUCUUCAAGGUUCUGAGACCAUGGAAAAUGAAAACAUCACUCCUCUACCCAUGACUGGUCUAUUUAAAUCAGUGACUCCUACAGAAACAUCCCAGGAUGCAAAGACGGAAUUCUUAUCUGCACCUUCCCCUACAGAAGAGAAAUCGGCAGCACUAUCGGUAGCAGCAUCUGCAGAUAAACAGAAACCUCAACACCCAAUAGUAACUUACAGCUGCUCUGAUGCUGAAAAUGCAGCUGAUAUGAAGAAUGUCUUAUUGGUCUCCAUGAAGGACUUAAACACAAGCACUAGCGAAGAUGGUAUGAAACCAAUGGUCAGCUGUGAAGAAUGAGAAAACACUGUAAUACUG
rnacentral:lncRNA from 1 species